CCUACGGGGGGCAGCAGUGAGGAAUAUUGGUCAAUGGGCGAGAGCCUGAACCAGCCAAGUCGCGUGAGGGAGUACUGCCCUAUGGGUUGUAAACCUCUUUUGUCGGGGAGCAAAAGCCGGACGUGUCCCGGCCCGGAGAGUACCCGGAGAAAAAGCAUCGGCUAACUCCGUGCCAGCAGCCGCGGUAAUACGGAGGAUGCGAGCGUUAUCCGGAUUUAUUGGGUUUAAAGGGUGCGUAGGCGGGCUUUUAAGUCAGCGGUAAAAAUUCGGGGCUCAACCCCGUCCGGCCGUUGAAACUGGGGGCCUUGAGUGGGCGAGAAGAAGGCGGAAUGCGUGGUGUAGCGGUGAAAUGCAUAGAUAUCACGCAGAACCCCGAUUGCGAAGGCAGCCUUCCAGCGCCCUACUGACGCUGAGGCACGAAAGUGCGGGGAUCGAACAGGAUUAGAUACCCGGGUAGUC
rnacentral:rRNA from 1 species